CUGGGAGGCAGGGUGGUGAAGGAGCUAAGUAAAUGGGCUCUGGGAUCACACCACCUGGGUCCAUUUUGAGCUCUGCCUGUUAGGUCGGGGUAGGUUCAACCCCUGUAGCACAAACACCAGAUGCAUCCUGGGAAAUACUGUUCUCUUUAAAACUGCAGGAGUGGCCCCCGUUGAGAUGGAGGUUGAACAAGCAUUUCCCUAGAGUCCUGUGGUCCAUAGCAUUGUCUGCUAAGAUGCUGGGCUGUCCUGGAGCUGCGGCUGGAGUCAGGUUCAAAUGCAGCACCCGGCAGCACACUACACAGAGACGGUGUCUCACUCUGUCAGCCCAGGCUGGAGUGAAGUGGCGCAAUCUUGGCUCACUGCAGCCUCCGUCUCCUGAAUUCAAGCAAUUCUCCUGCCUCAGCCUCCCAAGAAGCUCAGAUUACAGGUGAGGACACCAUGUUCCUCUACUGUUGUGGAUGCAGCCCUCACCAGACGACCGAACCUGCCAGUGCCUUGUUCUUGGACUUCCUAGCCUUCAGAACUGCCAGAAUCCUGCUAGGACAUCUCUGCCUGUGGAAGGAGGGCUGGAUGGCAUACUGGGAAUGGCUUUCUAGGAUGACUUCCUGUUGCUACAGACUACAAGAAGCAUUUCUGGCCUUGAUGUUGUCUGAAUGAAGAAGACAUAGGAGUUUCACCAAAGCCUACAGGAAUGAGGAAGCAGGAAGGGCCAGAGUGAAGUGGAAACUUUGAACUUGAAGUUGGAAGACACUGGUACUCAUCUCUUCUAUUUGCUAGCUGUAUGAUCUUGGGCAACUUAUUUAAUUUAUCUUCCUCCAGUUUACUCAUUGAUUAAAUGAAGGGACCUUGUGACGCUGAUACAGCCAAUGGCCAGGAGAUUUGAGGGGCAGAUUCUGCAUCUAUCCAAAG
rnacentral:lncRNA from 1 species